CAUCCUCUUGCCUCCUAUUUGGACCACUCUAAGACGCAGACCUAAUAUCCAUUAUUCGCAUGUACGAUCAUUCUCCAUUUUUUUUUUUUGAUAAAUAUUCUUUAAUUUUUUUGCUUAAAGAACGCUAUCCAUUACUUUUUAGUCCUUAUUGGGAUAGAUCCUUAUCGUUUAGUCGACUAUCCCUCAUCCUCUUCUUCCUACCGAUCAAGUACACGACGACUAUCUCUUUUCUUCAUCUCCACACCGACUAAGUGUAUUAUGCUACGGAUCGAGCUGACUUAUAUGAUGAAAUAUGAUCUAGUCGGUAUUUGACCAAUUUGGUUCGACAGACAAUCAAUGUCUAACUUGCGAUGUUUGAUAUGUAGUCGACACCUGACUGACGACUUCCUCGGUGUUCUACUGACUAUCUUAAUUCCAUAAAUUUGAGGAUUAAAUGAUAGUUAUCCAACAUGAGCAUUAACUACACGCGAUCCUAGGAUGCAAUAGUCGCCCACGAACUAUCCAUUAUUCGACCUU
rnacentral:lncRNA from 1 species